rnacentral:rRNA from 1 species
ACGGGGGGUGCAAGCGUUAUUCGGAUUUAUUGGGCGUAAAGGGCGCGUAGGCGGUCUUUUAAGUCAGAUGUGAAAGCCCGGGGCUUAACCCCGGAAGUGCAUUUGAAACUAAAGGACUUGAGUAUGGGAGAGGGAAGUGGAAUUCCUGGUGUAGAGGUGAAAUUCGUAGAUAUCAGGAGGAACACCGGUGGCGAAGGCGACUUCCUGGACCAAUACUGACGCUGAGGCGCGAAGGCGUGGGGAGCAAACAGG